rnacentral:rRNA from 1 species
UACGUAGGUGGCAAGCGUUGUCCGGAAUUAUUGGGCGUAAAGCGCGCGCAGGCGGCCUCUUAAGUCUGAUGUGAAAUCUUGCGGCUCAACCGCAAGCGGCCAUUGGAAACUGGGGGGCUUGAGUACAGAAGAGGAGAGUGGAAUUCCACGUGUAGCGGUGAAAUGCGUAGAUAUGUGGAGGAACACCAGUGGCGAAGGCGACUCUCUGGUCUGUAACUGACGCUGAUGCACGAAAGCGUGGGGAUCGAACAGG